GAAAGGCAGUAAAGAGAGAGUGCACAAGAUAAACAUAUAUAAACAAUUAAAAUUAAAAACUAAUAAAAUUAAUAAAUAAUAAAAAGAGAAAGCAGCCAAAGGCAGAUGCAGAUAGGAAGAUAUGAAAAUUAACUAAUCCAUUUUCACACAUCCUGUUAUAGGUGCACUACAAUUACCCAAAACACAUUCCACCAGGCUACAGGACAAAAUCUCGGGGGCUGCCAAAGUUUUUUGCCCUCUCUUUUCUCUUCCAAAAAACCCACAACAAAAAGGGCAGCUCUAACUUCUAUUCACCCCUAGUACAAUACGUAGCAUAUGAUAUUAGCAACAAUAAUUAAUAACAACAAAUAAAAGAUUACAUGGGACCCUUAUCAGGAAAUGAUAAAAUGAUGAUGCAGAUACUGUGGUAGGAAAUGGUGAUCACGAUGAUGUUAACUAGGUUUUGAAAUGGUGAUUAAGAGAUUGCAUUACUCAAGGAAACCUAUUUUUGUCAAAAUAGCAUUUCUCACUUUGGUAAGAUCUCUCCCUUUGAGUGUCCUUCCAAUCCCUUCGCACACAGAGAAAGAAGAAAUUGGACUCCUUGCAAGCUUCUUAGCUAUCCACUCAUGUGGAGGGACCAUUUCAUCUCCUUCACCAUCAUCAUUGUCAUUAACAUCAUCAUUAUAAUACCCCUUAUCAUAAACAAUAUCAUCAUCAGCAGAUAAACCUAUUCUUGUAUUUUUCCCAUAAAUCUUUGACCAAUCAAGGAUGUUCAUAGGAGCUGAUGAUUGUUGAACUACCUUGGCUUCAUGGGGGGUUGCUGCUAAUGGUUGGUUAGCAAGAUUGGCUCUUGGGAUCAUUCUUGGAGCAUUAUGGAGGUGCCAUG
rnacentral:misc_RNA from 1 species